AUCUAAUCCCCGAUCUAAACCUCAGUAUUUUGUUAUUGCCUUCAUCUGAUACUUUAAUUCUGCACGUCUGUACCACUUCCCCCACUUGCUCUCAUAAAUCCAAGGUAACCGAUUGUAGUAGUGACUAUAAAUGUGUUCCUUUCCAGCGAUGAAUAGCCACAAUCCAACGAAAUCCGAAAGGCCAAUCUUUGUUCAGAAUCAACUCCAACUAUGGCGACGUCGUAAACUGUCCUUGCCGAUGUACAAACACCGCAGUUGUCCGUCUGAAAUAUGAUGCGAAGAGCACUAAGAAGCUUUGUGUUUUUAUGCUUGAUUUCGGAGUUGCAAGUGACCAACAAUUCUGUAAAAGCUAUUACUCUUAAAGUUGAUGGAUGUGUGACUUUGAAACCGAAUUAAGAUCAAGAAUGAUUAGUGUUCGUACUGAAGUCCUUUCUAUUCAUUUAAUGGGCUUGCCAACGUUUGUUCUCUAUGAGAAUGAGAUAAUAUCAUAUAGUUCCUGUUUGAUGUUUUCAGGCAGUGAAGACGGAAUACCUAUUCUGUUCAGCUUGGUUUGAGGUAAAAAAAAAUAUAAAUUUAUGAAUGAUCUCUAUGUUGAAGUCUUAGACAGUUGAAUUUAUGUGUUGUACUAACGGGUCUUUCUUCUUCCUCGACAUCCAUAAGCCAAUGAAGAAUACUUGGGAAGGAUCCAAAGAAAACAGGUUAAGAAUCAGUAGUGUAUCUUAUUAUAAUGAGAUUAAAUUUUUACUUUAUAUUGACAUGAAAAAAGAGUCGACAUGUAGAGGAAAGAAAGACGAACAGAACAUAGGAUUUUCAAAUAUCCUCUUCUUUCGUUGUUCUUCUCAUGGUUUGUUAUCUUGAUCAUAAAUCACAGAAAGUUCACAUUUUCAAAAAUUAUUUGCUCUUAUUUUUAAUGGGGUUGAAAUUUAUUUACGGUUCUGCUUAGGAAUGAUCCGAGUUUUGAUUGUAUUCAUGAUUAUCUUGUCCUUUGUGACUGAUUAUCUUGCUCUGUAUAAAGACAGACUUUUAGGUAAUAUAUGUGCAGUCACAACAGCGAAUAAGGCACAGACCGCACUGGAGUUGCUGAGGGAUAACAGGAACAAGUUUGAUCUCGUGAUCAGCGAUCUUGAAAUGGACUUAACUGUCAUUAGUAUGACCUAUUAAGUUUCUGUUUGAUUAUUUUCAUGUUUCCAAGAUAGAAUGUUUUGAUCUCUUUUUAUAAUGUUUUGAUCUUUUUAAUUAUAUCUUGCACUGUUACUUGCGCAUAGCGAUCUAAUGUAUGUGAUGGUUGCCUGCGACUAUCUCCUUAAACCAGUUCGAAUUGAGGAGCUCAAGAACAGAUGGCAACAUGUGGUGAGGAAAAUUAAGUUAAGAAGAUGAAGAGCAUUUUGUAAAGAUCAUCUUGAAGUGGAAGAAGACGAAAGAGGAAAUGAAAACGAUGACACGACAGCUCACAAAAACCUCGUGUAAUUUGGACGCUAGAGCUGCACAACAAGUUCCUAGCUCGUCUUCUAACAACACAAGACGGGAACACAAUGAACACCAACUGGUUUCAGAAUGCUUAGGUUACGUAGCGCCUGAGCUAGAGUUUCAGAACUAAAGGGUCAACGAGAAAUGCGAUGUUUACGGGUUUGGAGUUCUGAUACUCGAACUCCUGACUGGUCGGAGACUCAUGGAGUAUGGUGAAGACAGCUUUGUGAUACUAAGCGAUCAUGUUCGAGUUUUGUUAGAACAAGGGAAUGUGUUGGAGUGUAUUGAUCCUAUAAUGGAGGAAGAAUACUCUGAGGAUGAGGUUUUGCCUUUUCUGAAACUUUCUCUUGUCUGUACUUCUCAGAUUCCUUCAAAUUUGCCUACAAUGGCAGAGAUUGUUCAGAUCUUGCAGGCCAUCAGUUCUCCUGUUCCUCACCGUCACCGGAUGCUCGAUAGUUUUUCAAAAAGCUCUGUGUUAAUUUGAAUUUCUAUUAUGCAAUAUUUUCUUUCUUUUUAUUUAUUUUUUUUUACUUUUUUUGUAGAGAUUGCCUUCUUUCACAAUGGUAUGUUCUAUCUUUCUCGCUAUGUCAAUCAUGAAUCAAAUUGACGAUCAUUGACCAUUGUUAUCAUUAAUAGGCUUUUUCUUGAGAAUUUUUCAUGUUUUUGUAAGUUAGCAAAUAAUACAAACGAACAAUAAUUACUGACACUGGAAAAACUAACUUUGUUUCAUAUCUACAUGGCAUUUUAUUGUCUGCUUCAUCAUCUUGCACAAGUGUGCGUACAUAUUAAUAUGCUUUCACCUACUUACACUAUAACUAUUUACAGAACCACUCUGUUUCUCAUAUUUACAACUUCAUUUGGGUAUAUACUACACCGACAUCAAGAAUUCAUAGCCGACGAUAACACAUACCGCCACACUUCAUCUGGUUUUCAAAGCACUGAUGAGUUCUCCGUUUUUUUUGUACUAUUUGAUACAUCCGAUAUAUGAGCUUUAACCUGUAACCGCGACAUUCAAGAAUCCAAUUAUAUUAUUGCAUACGCAAUCACACUCCUCCUUCUUCAUUUUUAAAGCAAUCUAAGAGUCUAAACUAAAAUUUAAAGCGAUACUUUUGAUGAUCCUAUAGGUUCACAAAUUCUGAAGAUCGUAAUCAAAAACGUGUUUGUUAGCUUACCCCUACGGAGUUCUGUUGCAUGAAGCGCAUAUGUUGAAAGAUGCACUACACAUGCUUUUUUUAAAGGAGAUGCGCUACACAUGCACAAACGUAAUCCAUAAUUAAAAAAAAACAUACAACACGGUAAACACAAUUACCAAACAAAACAUAAAAUCACUCUCCUCAACUGCACAAGCACACAAAUCAAAACAAACAAAUGCAGUUCCUUUUAUAUAC